CUACUCGGGUAUCUAAUCCUGUUGGCUCCCCACGCUUUCGUACCUUAGCGUCAGUUACAGUCCAGUGAGCUGGCUUCCCUAUCGGUAUUCCUCAUGGUAUCUAUGCAUUUCACCGCUACACCAUGAAUUCUGCCCACCUCUACUGCACUCAAGAUAUUCAGUAUCAAAGGCAUUUCCACAGUUGAGCUGCAGGCUUUCACCUCUGACUUAAACAUCCGCCUACGUACCCUUUAAACCCAAUAAAUCCGGACAACGCUUGCACCCUCCGUAUUACCGCGGCUGCUGGCAC
rnacentral:rRNA from 1 species